UACGGAGGGUGCAAGCGUUGUUCGGAAUCACUGGGCGUAAAGCGCGUGUAGGCGGCCAUCUAAGUCUGGUGUGAAAGCCCUGGGCCCAACUCAGGAAGUGCACUGGAUACUGGAUGGCUGGAGUACCGGAGAGGAGGGUGGAAUUCCUGGUGUAGCGGUGAAAUGCGUAGAUAUCAGGAGGAACACCGGUGGCGAAGGCGUCCCUCUGGCCGGAUACUGACGCUGAGACGCGAAAGCGUGGGGAGCAAACAGG
rnacentral:rRNA from 1 species